rnacentral:tRNA from 1 species
GUUCAAAUAGCUCAGUUGGUUAGAGUAGAGGUUUGAAAAACCUUUUGUCGGUGGUUCGAGUCCACUUUUGGACA